rnacentral:tRNA from 1 species
UCCCUCUUAGCUCAGUCGGUAAAGAAUCUGCCUGCAAUGCAGGAGACCCGGGUUCGAUUCCUGGACUGGAAA